rnacentral:lncRNA from 1 species
AAACCAUCUGUACGACCUCCUUAUGUGGCUCCCUACCAGUCACUGUCAUCUGUUCCCUAAUCUCAUUACGGAGCCCUUCUUCGAAAUAACUGGCCUAAUCCUGCUCCGAUUUCACCAGGUUUGACACAUAUAACAUUAGCUCGUUAAAACAAGCUUUGUACUCCUCUACAGUUAGAUUUCCUUGUUUCAAGCUUAGAAAUUCUCUUUUUUUU